UCUUGCUGUUGGCUAGCACAAAUCACAAUACACACUUCAAUUUCAAAAUCCCACAUUUCCAUUAUGAGCUCGCGUAUUCCCAAUGAUGCAAUUCACUAUCUUCUAACAUUAGAAAAAGAAAACAUUGUAACACAGAUCGUAAAAUGCUCCUUUCCUUCAAACUCUUUCCAUCAUUCAUCCUUCUUUCUUCUUCUUGGAAAAGAAAAAUCUUAAUCCUUCUUUGUUGUCAUUUUUUUCCCCUUCUCAAUUUCCCAAUCCACGUUUCCUUCCCAUCUACUUUCUCUGAUACCCAAAUGCGAAUGUGAAGCCGAAUGUGAAUUCGGAGAAGCUUUCUGAUCUUUUGAACAUUGCGGAGGUGGAGACAGAUGUGGAGGCGGAGAAGAAGGAAGAAGCAUCGGAGGAAUUGAAGCGGAGAAGAAGCUUUCACUCUCUUCCAUGUCUUCUCUACUUUCACAGUUGUAUUUCUCCUCUUAUCCCUCGCCUUCGUCGACUCGACCUCCACCGUCAGUAGUGAAUUUUCUCUUGCGACCACCUCUCUAGGUCUCUUCAUCCCGUUGCCUCUUUUGAUUCCCGUUCAUUCAACACCAACACCAUGCGCCAGUGCGAGGAACACUCAGAUGAGUCCAAUGUUUCCGAUUGUCGUUGAUGGCUCUUUCCCUCACACUCGCCGCGACGAUUUCCUCUCAGAUAAAUUUAAUUGCACCCAUCAUUAUAGCAUUAUUGUGAUGAAACGAAGUAGAAAAAAUGAACCAAAAGGAGAGGAUUUCAGUUAGAUUCACGACGACAGAGGAUUUCAUAGACGAAGGAUGAAUGGUGUUGUCGCUGCUAUCCUUUCAAGGAAUGUUAGAGGCUUAUCACUCUCUUUUGAAGAGCAUGUUCCCAAAGUGAUUGGGAAAAACAAACUCACUUUUUUUUAUCUCAUUCUCUUCUUACUUUUAAUUUCAUUUUAUUCUGUAAUAAUGAUAACGAGAUUGUUUCUAUCUACACUUUAUAGGUUCUACAAAUAUGGUUCAAAGAAGAAAAACCAUGAGCCUUGGAUUAUGAUUUGAGAAAAAUUGCCAAAUCCAGGAGGAAAAUCAUGUUACUUUUUCUUUAUGAAGGGAUGUAAUCAAAUUUGAAGGCUAUGAAAGAAGGAAUCGAGGAACACAAACGCAUGAUGUUGCAUGUUAAGAAAAUAAAGUCAAGUGCUUAAAUUGGUAUAGUUUCUGUCCUUUUUUUUUUUUCCUUCCUGCAAUUGGUAUAGUUUUUGUUCCUACUCCAUUUCACCAUGAUGUUACUAAUUUCCAAUUUUACUAUGAGAAGAAACCACAUAUGAAGUUAUCUUUUGAUUUUUGGUAAGUUAAUUUAUGAACAAAUAUAUAAAUAUUUUGGUGCAUACGAUGCAUAUACUCACGAUCUAAUUUAUUUUUGAAGAUGUUGGCAUAUGAUUUUGUCAAUCAAUCUUGGACAAGAAAGCUACUGCAGUAGUCUUGGUCGAUGAUUAUGGCAACAUGUGUGGGAUUGCAUACUUAUUUAUGCAUCAAGACCAUAUAACCAGUGGAAGUGGAUGGUUGAGGCACGAUUCUAUAGAAAGUUCUCCUGUCAAGAUCGGUGAUCCUGUUGUUGGGAAAAAUGAGACUUUGUUUUACUGUGAGGCGUUACUAGAAUUAAAGAAGUAUAUUUUUGAGUCGACUAUGUUGUGAAUUUUGGUUUAGCUAUUUCUAUUUCGAGUAUUGGGACUAUCUUUUUGUUACUAGACUUUAGGAAAAGUAUAGUUUUGAGUCGACUAUGUUGUCAAUUUUGGUUUAGAAGUUUCUAUUUCGAAUAUCAGACUAUCUAUUUUAUUAAAGCAUUCUGCCAAUUUUUGUCGUGA